ACUUACAUAAACCUAAAUGGUAUAGCCUACUAUACACCUAGGCUAUAUGGUAGUAAUCUUACGAGACCACUGUCAUAUGUGGUUCGUCAUUGACCAAAGCA